CUCCAAACCAACUAUGGUUAUAUCUUGCUUAUAAGUUGGGACAAUUUACGUUCUGCAAAUGGUUCCCUACUCAUCCCAGUUACUCCUACCUUUAACCAUCAGAAGAGUAACGCAUACCCAGCACACUGUCCACAGGACAUGAAUACAGCUUGAAGGGAAUACACCCUCACACUCAGGAGCAUUACCCCCUCCUCUCAUGGUCCCAGGGAAAAGG